UAUGGCCAUAUCAUGUUGAAAUGCUGGUUCUUGUUUGAUCACAGAAGUUAAGCAACAUUGAACCUGGUCAGUACUUAGAUGGAUGACUGCUUGGGAAUACCAGGUUCUGUAAG